AACGAACGCUGGCGGCAUGCCUAACACAUGCAAGUCGAACGAGAGCUUCGGGCCUAGUGGCGCACUGGGGCGUGACGCGUGGGAACCUGCCCUUAGGUUUGGAAUGACUCCCCGAAAGGGGUGCUAAUACCGGCUAAUGUCUCCGGUCCGACGAGUUAUCGCCUGUGGAUGGGCCUGGGUUGGAUUAGCUAGUUGUGGGCGUAGAGCGCUACCAAGGCGACGAGCCGUAACUGGUCAGAGAGGAUGAUCAGCCACACUGGUACUGAGACACGGUCCAGACUCCUACGGGAGGCAGCAGUGCGGAAUAUUGGACGGUGGGCGAAAGCGUGAUCCAGCCAUGCCGCGUGUGUGAAGAAGGCCUCCGGAUUGUAAAGCAGUUUAAGUUGUUAGGAAGGGCAGUAAGUUUUUCCCUGGCUGUUUUGACGUUACCAGCAGAAUAAGCACCGGCUAACUUCGUG
rnacentral:rRNA from 1 species